GCUCAUACGAAUGCAGAUGAAUCCAUGAAGAGAACAAUAAUGGCUUCAUUUGGGAAGAAAUUGAGAGAUUGGAAAAGUAGAGUGAAAAAAGUGGGAUACAAACCCUUCAAGAAUGAUGCAGAAAGGUUGGCUCAUUGAUCGGAUAGAGUACAUAAGGAUCAGUGGAUGGCCUUGGUCUACUAUUAGGGCACUCAGAGUGCAUCGAAAUCAAGCAAGAAGAAUUGAAAAAUCCGAAAGAAUAAGACAUUACAUCAUAGAACAGGCCGAAAGCCUUUCUCAGUAGUUCGAGUGGAGAAGGCAAAAAAUAACAAUGGGAUUCCUGCUAGUCGGCCACAGGUGUAGAUGGCCGCAUACAUAAAAGAUGGGAAGUCAAAUAGUGAUUCAGUUAAUGAGGUUAUGACUCAAAUGAAUGAGCUAACAGAGCACGUAAAGGGAUCUUCUAGUGACCUUGUUGCAUUAAAUGAGCAGGUCUUUACACAAGUUAUGGGCCUGGAGCAACUUGGCCGUGUUCGGACGUUUGGAUUGGGACCGUCCCCCACUGAUUUUUUGGAGGUAGAUAUAGGCAGUCACAAGAGCAUAAUCGUAUCUUCCAAACUCAAGUUCAAGAGCAAGUUGAAGAGCAACUUCAACGGCAUCAAAUGCAGUUAGAAUCGAAGAUGAAUGACGUAGUGGAGAAACGAAUUCAAGUUGUUGUGGAUUCACUUAGUAGUCAUCCCACUAUUCGACCAAUGCCACAUCAACAACAAUCUCAUACAUUUUCAUCCCAAGAGGUUCACCUUUCAAAAAAAAGAGAAGAACAAGAACAAGAAGAAGCAGAACUAACAAGGAACGACGUCUUCAAGCUGGAUACAAAAGGAACAUAGCUGAGUCCUCUUAUACUUCUUUUUGGGCUUCUUUUAUUUUGGGUAUACACCUAGGAUUGUUUUUCAGAACUUGUUCCUAGAAUCAAAUGCCGAAAUAUUGCAAUGUUCAGAGAGGGUUUAGAGGCUCCUUCUUCAGGUUUUAAAUUCAUUGGAGUGAGCACUUUCAUUAAAACUCAGUUUGUUCAUCUUUCACUCUCUUAAUGUUCUUAAUGCUUGAAAUGGUUGGUUUAUUUUUUUAUUUUUUUCUUCUUGCUGUAUUUCUUGUUCCUUCAAUUGAUAUUAGUGCUCAAUGGAAGACUUGGAAGUUGCUGCAAAGUUGUAUAUUUCUUAUUGGGUAGAACUGGCAACUACUCCAUAUGGUUCAACCCCUGGAUGCCACAAAAAUGUUUGGGCUUGUAGCCCUUCCUUGUAAAAGUCACUUUAAAGAAACAGCUAAGAUGAGAGCCUUGAAGGUUGUAAUUGUUAAAACAACUUAUGGGGUUCUGUGCAAAUUUUUUGGCAAAUCACCUCUUUUAAAUGUUAUUCA